rnacentral:lncRNA from 1 species
CUUGAAGAAGCAUUUUCAGACAGCUAAAUCAGAAAAAGAUAAUCACUUUUUCAUCUUCUUUCUUUUUACUGUUUAGAGUUGGAACUUCAGAAGACUGAUGGGUCUGUCCCUGUGCACAGAAGCCAGACAGUUUGAUGUCUGAGACAGAUCUGCUGUAAAGGAGUCCAUUAAUUGCUUGAAUGCUAUAUCAGAGGGCUUGGAGCUUGUAAGCUCUGAAUUUCCUGCCUGCUCAGAAUUUUCUUUGAGCUCCCCAUAUUUGAUGCACAGCGUGAGGAAGACCGAGAGAGCCUGUAGCACUGUGCAGAAUCCUAAACUUCUCCCACGUUUCUGCCCCACAGUGCUGCCCAGCCCCAGCAGCAAUACGUGCCCACUGCUUCUUGUUCUUCCCACCAUGGACAUCUGA